rnacentral:rRNA from 1 species
GAUCUGGCUCAGGAUGAACGCUGGCGGCGUGCCUAACACAUGCAAGUCGAACGAAGCUUGACGGAUGAUUUCUUCGGAAUGAAACCAGAUAUGACUUAGUGGCGGACGGGUGAGUAACACGUGAGCAACCUGCCUUUCAGAGGGGGAUAACGGCUGGAAACGGUCGCUAAUACCGCAUGAUGUGUUCGGAUGGCAUCAUCUGAACAUCAAAGAUUUAUCGCUGAAAGA